AUCGCUUCUCGGCCUUUUGGCUAAGAUCAAGUGUAGUACUAGUUUAAAGCUGAAAGACCAUGGGGUUGCUGAUUGACUGGGCGACAUCAUGAAACAUUUGUUGUUUGCUUUGUUUUUUUUGUUUGUUUUUUUAUUUUAAAAAACCCUCAUUGCCUCAUACAGACAAUACUUUAAACAAUGAAACAAAA